UAAUAUAAUUUUGACAUUUUGUUUUCAGAAAAUAUUAUGAACGGCAGCGGUAUCACUGUUGAAGAAACAGUGUUUUUUGGCUUAUAUAUAAUCUCGUUGUUAUGCAUUCGCAAUGCAUGUCGUGCAGGGGUCAUUACCAACAAGCUUCUCAGAGAAUUUGACCGAGCUGAAUAUAUUCGAGGAGAAUAUGCAAUAACGGUUUCAAAUCACAAAACCUCUUAUCACGGACCAGCAAUUUUGAUUCUUGAGAAAGACCUCUAUGAAUUAAUGAGAAUGUAUAGAAAACAAGUACAUCCAAUUGUCGGCGCUGCAUUAAGCCAGACAUUUUUUUAAAACUAACAGUGGACAGGAAAUCAGACCAUGUCAAGACUUAACACGACUCUGGCAUAUUUUGGGUGUCAGACAAGAGAAAACAAUCAACUGCACCCACUUCCGUAAGCAGAUUGCUACUAUGUCAUGGCAACAUAACCAUCAAGAGAAAAACCGCAGGCUUAUUGCGGAGUACAUGCACCACUCGAUAAAUACACAAAAUGCAUAUUAUAAAGCCGCGCAACGGCAGGAAGAUGCCAUUGUUGCAAAGCAUCUUCUGAGAAAGAUGAAAGAAACUGUUUCAAAUCAUAAAACCUCUUAUCACGGACCAGCAAUCUUGGUUCUUGAGAAAGACCUCUAUGAAUUAAUGAGAAUGUAUAGAAAACAAGUACAUCCAAUUGUCGGCGCUGCAUUUAGCCAGACAUUUUUCAAAAC